ACAUAAGGGGUAUCACUGUCGUUUUUAUCAAAUGAAACGGUAACACUGUUGCUUUUUAUCUGUCAUCAUGAAAAACCCAUAAGGGGUAACACUGUCGAAAUGUAUCGAAUAAAACAUAGGGGGUAACACUGUCGUUUUUACCAAAUGAAACGUAAAGGGUAACACUGUUUUUUUUUAUCUGUCAUCAUGAAAAA